AAAAAUUAAAAAAAGGUAAAGGAAAGGACUCCAUAGGAGGAGCCAUAGAAGUAGUUCCAUAAGGUCGUCUUCUGACACCCCCACCAAAACAUUAGAAAACAAAACCAUUAAAAGAGAAGCCGAGGGCCUUUCUCUCACUCCCUCUUUGGUUCUGGUUCUGUGUAGUAAAAAGCGAAGGGUAUAACUCAAGAAUUUAAUAAGCUAGAACAGACUAGUUCUGGGUUUAGCUUUUCCCUGGUGCUCUCUUUUUUGCAUUUAAGAAAGAAAAGGGGAGUUCGAACAAGGCCUGAGAAGAGAGAACUUUUUCCAUGUGCAGUGGGUCAGAGAGGAAACCGACUUAUACUGGUUUCAUCAUGGAGAAUAAAUUUCAAAAGCAAGAUGGGUAUUGCUGUAAUCUCUCUGUUUUGCUCGAAUUGUCUGCCUCGAAUGAUCUGAUUGGGUUUAAGAGAGAAAUUGAAGGAGGCCGUGACGUUGAUGAGCCAGGCUUAUGGUAUGGGAGAAGAAUUGGCUCAAAAAACAUGGGGUUUGAGGAGAGGACACCCCUCAUGAUUGCUGCCUUACUUGGAAGCAAAGAUGUCUUGAAUUAUAUCUUGGAAAUGGGCCGUGUUGAUGUUAAUAGGUGUUGUGGGUCUGAUGGGGCCACAGCCCUUCACUGUGCUGUUGCAGGUGGCUCUGCAUCUUCUCUUGAGGUUGUCAAGCUCUUGCUUGCUGCCUCUGCUGAUCAUAAUGCUGUUGAUGCCAAUGGAAAUCAUGCUAUUGAUUUGCUUGUUCCAGUUGUUAAUUCUGGUUUUAAUUUG
rnacentral:misc_RNA from 1 species